GACGCGGGGUCUGUUUCUCCGCUCUGGCGGUCAGAGUGGCCCCAAGCUGCGCAACGUCCAGCGACUAAGUGUGGCCCGCGACAUUUAACUGAGCCCAGCUGCGCCACCCCCAGCACUGGAACCUGCCUUAACUCCAACCUUGAUCACACAAGACCUGGGGGCCUCAGAGGCAGGGCCCCGGGGGAAUAUUCUGCCCCAGAGCAGCGAGACAACAAAGGCUUUCAAGGAUCAGCGCUGACCCUGAUGGACCGGGCACUGCAGGAAAGCGCUGGGGUCAACUGGCCACGUCUGCCCCGGCACUGGAGCAGAAAGCGGGGUGCAAGUGCCCAGAGACGAACCGCACGGUGCGCAGGGUGUGUAUGGCCAGAGAAGCGACCGAGGGCUGUGGGACCCUCGCUGCGCCAAUUCAGCGCUGCCCGACCUCAAAGGACGCGACCG